rnacentral:rRNA from 1 species
UACAGAGGGGGCAAGCGUUGUUCGGAAUUACUGGGCGUAAAGGGCGCGUAGGCGGCCCGCUAAGUCGAACGUGAAAUCCCCGAGCUCAACUCGGGAACUGCGUCCGAUACUGGUGGGCUUGAAUCCGGGAGAGGGAUGCGGAAUUCCAGGUGUAGCGGUGAAAUGCGUAGAUAUCUGGAGGAACACCGGUGGCGAAGGCGGCAUCCUGGACCGGCAUUGACGCUGAGGCGCGAAAGCCAGGGGAGCAAACGGG